GGCCCUAUGGGGCGCAGCAGGCGAGAAAACUGGACAAUGCACGAAAGUGUGAUCCGGUAAUUCCCUGUCCCAAGCGCAAGUUUGGGUUUUGUUGAGUGUGACUAGCUUGGCGAAUAAGGAGAGGGCAAGAACGGUGCCAGCCGCCGCGGUAAAACCGUCUCUUCGAGUGGCCGACGUGUUUAUUGGGCCUAAAGCGUCCGUAGGCGGGCUAAUCCGUCCCACAUUAAAGACGGCAACUCAAUUGUCUGAAGUGUGUGGGAAACUGCUAGCCUUGGCAAUGGGAGAGGUGAGCUGUACGGUAGGAGUAAAGGUGAAAUUUAGUAAUCUCUAUCGGACAACCGAUGGCGAAGGCAGCUCACUGGAACAUGUGCGACGCUGAUGGACGAAAGCCAGGGGAGUGAGUCGGAUUAGAUACCCGAGUAAUCCUGGCUGUAAACGAUGCGGAUUAAGUGUUGGAUGGUCAAGAGACCAUUCAGUGCCGAAGCGAAGGCGUUAAAUCCGCCGCCUGGGAAGUACGAGCGCAAGCUUGAAACUUAAAGGAAUUGGCGGGGGAGCAC
rnacentral:rRNA from 1 species